CAGCACAUUCUCUCCCCUGUAGGCAGUAAGUCAUUUUAUUCCUGAAGCAAUGCCCAGUGGGCGAAGAACUAGAAUAAGAAGGAACAGGCUCUAGAAGUCUGAUGUCCAGAGAUUUUCUCAGAAAUACUCCUGCCAAUGGGCUGACAUCAUUUUGUUGUUAGCUUUUUGAUGAUGGAGACACAUUGCUAUAAGAUUUCUAGAGGUGUUUAAAGUAUUUAUUUCCUGUAUUUUUUUUUUUUUGGCUCUUUUUUUUUUGAGGGCCACACCUGUAGCAAAUGGAAGUUCCCAGGCUCUAGGUCGAAUGGGAGCUGUAGCUGCCAGCCUACGCCACAGCCACACAAUGCAGGAUCUGAGCUGCGUCUGGGACUUAAGCCACAGCUCGUGGCAACACCAAAUCCUUAACCCACUGAAUGAGGCCAGGGAUCAAACCCACAUCCUCAUGGAUGCUAGUUGGAUUCAUAAUCUGCUGAGCCACAAUGGGAACUUACUUCCUAUUUGUAUAAGUAUUUAUUGCAAGGUUUUCUUUAAAAUUUUAUGACUUUUAAAAACCUUGUUCCUAGAACAACAAAGUGGAAAUUUGGACUAAGACUUUGAUCCAAUUUUUUUCAUUCUUCCUCUUUAAGUCUAUGUGGUUGGACAAAGCAGUUAAUGUCUAUGAACUUUAUAUUUCCUCUCUGAAAAUGAGAGAAUUGUUCUAGAACACAAGAGAGUGUCCAAGACUUCUUCCAACUCUCAGGUUUCUAUAACUGAAGACAUAUGUAAGUCUUCCCUAGCAGAACUCAACCAUUCUUUUUCUAAUUAUUUCUUGAUUUUAUGCAGUCAUUACUAGUAAAGCCUCUCUUUGUCUCCAGCCUAUAAAUAAACACACUAAAUAUCUACUGAUUGCUUUCAGCUGUUCAGAUUUACUGAGAGAGUCUAGAUUUGUUACCUGUAAGAAUGAGGCUUGAAUACAAAGUAAUGAAAAAGUGUGUUUCACAACCCCCAGUGUUUACAUGGCCAAAAAGGUGUUGGGUUUCAAGGGAGUCACUCAGGAACCUACAUAUUUACUCUGCUGAAGCUAUCAUUACUCAGAGUCUUGCAGCUCCUCUCUUGGACUUGCCUUUAGGCGGGAUGUCACCCAAGCAACUAUCUUGUUUGAUAGCGUGUAUCUCGGUUUUGAUCCCCAAUGAUAUAUUUUGGCUUGCUCACUUGAGACACUUUCAUUACUCUCGCUUUUGAAUGCCAGCACUGUCCAGAUAUCAAGGCAACUAUCACAGGAAGUUUUUCCAAUCUAUCUAAGAUUGCUUUUUGCAGAUAUUAAGCACUAUAUAAACCUUGCUUAAGAGAAUGUGCUGAAGGCUUUGAAAGUAAUUCACAAGGAAUUCAAAACAAUUGCAUUUUGAUCAAUGACACCCUCAUUGGAGUAAAUACCUUGUCUUCAAAUACAAAUAGGAUGUAUGUUACACACAUGUAUGUAUGUUUUACACUCACACGUGUACACGUGCAUACAUGUACACCCCUCCUCUUACAUACCAGGCAUUAAACCUCAUGAUUUACCCACAUGCUAUCACUUGAAUCUUGCAGUAACUAUUUGAGUGAUUAUUUGAAGGGGAUGAUAACUUAUUGAAGUAUGGAAAUUUUAGUGUCCUUGCAUAAAAAAAGGAACUUUCUAUACUUUAGAGCCACCACUCAUAUCUUUGUUCAUUCCUUGUUCAUGAAAUUCUGUAGAGGAGGAGAGCUGUGGCUUUCUUUAGUACAUUGCAUUUCAAACCUGCACAACCCUUAUAAUAAGUGACUCUAUUCUGUUUUAUAUAUUAAAGCCAUGAUGAUAUAUUUAAAGAGAAAUUGUCUUCUUACUCUGGUCUCCAUACAAGGAACUGUUUACCAUCACCCAUGGAAUUCCCUAUCCUGUGAGUUUUCUCUUGUGUCAGGCCUUCUUCUGUCUGUUAAUGGAGUCAUUAUUUAUUUAGCAGUUUGUUAAAAUCUGGAGAGGUUACCUAUAGAGUCUUAUUUAGAUUAGGCUAGAUAAACACCAAGAAGGUCUUACAUCUGCAUGUCCUAGUUAAUAAGUGACAGCCACCAUUAGGAAACAAGUAUCUUUAAACUCAUUUGGAUAAGUGUGGGCCCAAGAUCGCUCUAAACCAGAACCACGUGUAGUUUGAAGAUGUUAUCAGCCAAGAACAUAAGUGCCGGUCCUGUGGUCCCUAAGGGGAAUCCUUGAGUUUUUAGGGAGGCUGCUGUCUAGGCAGAUUUCUGGGGGCCUUUUGUGUUUCUGACCCACCAAUAAAUUUGCUGCUGACAAAUAACUGGAGUAACAGGUUAGGUUCACAAAAGUGCAGCUCAAAUAAUGAUUAUUUUAAAAUGUAAGUCCAGAGAUGGACCCAGAACAACUGCUGUUUGCUUCCGCACAGAAUCUCCAAAAGUUCAGAAAGGCCUCAACUGGGGGUGGGGUGGGGGGAGACAACAGAAAAACCUGCCACUACUUACAAAAGCGUCAUUUGGUUUUCAAUCAGUUGAAGGACUUUGCCUGAGAUGGUACUUGUGAAAUUGAUCUCAAUUAAAAUCAGCCCGAGUGUGCUCACCCUUCCACAAUAGCUCUGAGGGGCCCUGGGAGAGGCGUCUUGCUAUUCCGCUGUCAUAGCACCGACACCUGUCUGCUCUAUCCUGGCACUUUUCCUGUUUUUAAUUUUCACCUCAGUCUUUUCUUUUAAGCAGUCUUUGACCUCUGCGGCAUCCCUAACGAACCCCUUUCAACGUGCGCGCCUCCCGUGUCCGCAUCCGCGUUGUAAUGGAAAUGCGGGGAGGAAUAGGGGUGUCUUUCACCUCUGACAGCAGGGCAGGCACGCGGCUUGCAGCUGUCAGGACAGUGACACGCUGCUGCAGCAGGAUAAUUGGGUACUUGAGGAAGAUUCAUAACGCAAUGUGCCGCAGAGCCCCGUGUCCUGCCCCGGGGCAGCCAGGGGAGGAGAGAAAGAGAAGGAUCCAUUGGGGGAUUGAAAUCUGCUCUUGAUAAAUAAUCACCUAUUUAUAACAGGACAGGAUGACGACUUUUGUUCCCCGGCAGGCCAGGAUUCAUGCAACUCCAAGGAUGACUUUUAAAGAUUUCGAGAUUGAACUUUAGGCAAGGUGAAUCAAAGCGAGGCUGGUGUGCGAGUCAGAACGAUGCUUCAAUGUCCCAUCCCAGAGGAAGCAGUGAAUCUCACACGGCACAGGUCUUUUCAUACCAGGAAGUUUGUUGUUUUAAUCAAAGCAAGCCAUCUGACAGCUCAUUAUUAAGAGACAACAAGAAGUGACUUUAUUAAUAUAGCGUGGAGUUGGUUCCUCUGCAAAUUAAAGUUCUUUGUUCACUUGUGACGGUUUGCCAAGGAGGCAUCUGUUAAGAGGUACCAAGUGGGAUAACAUUUUAAAAGUGUCAUGUGAUAACAAUUAACCUAUAAUUCCUUCUUACAUUCUCCCCUUUCAAUUGUAUUAGAUAAAUUUAUCAUGAAAGGUGAUGAAGACAAAAUCUUUCAUGUGCUUUCCUUGUGAAGUGGCCCCUCAGGAUUGGCAGAAGCUGUCACAAACUUAGUGGCAUUUAUUUCCCCCAAUAUUUAUGAUUUUGCUUAUGGAAUGUGACAGGUUGAUGGUUACUCUGCCUGCCUUGAUUGUAAACAGUCAGGAUUCUUCAUUUAAACAUAAGAUUUUAGGGGGGAAAGUAAUGGGUUGAUAUAUUCAGUCAGUGUGUUGUGUUAACUAAAUAUGAGACAGACUCAGGUAACAAUAGGUAGUAAUAUCAGAGCUAGGAAAAAAAGAUUUUUCCUUCUGUAUUGGGAGCCUGGGCAUUCUGAAUUCUUGAAUCAAUAUGUAGGCAAUGAAAAGAUUUAUAUUUGAUAAUCUGGAAAAUUAAUUUGAAAGGCAGGAAUGAGGACCUGUAAAUAAUAGCCCAUAGUAAAAACAGCCUCAUGCCUAGUUCAAAGUUCUACCACAGUUUGGAUUUUGAAGGCUGCAUGACAUAACUUUCAUCAUGGCCGUUUUCUUUUUUCUUUUCUUUUUUUUCAUUUUUGGCCAUGUCCACAGCAUCAAACCCAUGUCACAGCAGUGGCAACACUGAAUCCUUAACCACUAGGCCACCAGAGAACUCCCCUUCUUAUAUUUUUACUUUACUGGAAAUCACUGCAAAUUGACCCAUGAAAGAAAUGCGAGGACUCUAGGCAUCCUUGGACAAUGAACAGAAUCUUCUAUGACUUGUUGAAUUGACAUUUUCUGGUUGGUUAAAUAUUGUCAGAGAUAAAUUUCCUCUUGGGAAAUUUUUUAAGAGAUCGGCUUUAAGUUGCUAGGAUUUUUAACCAUAAAAUCCCUAAAACUCAAAAUGCCUGAGUUAUUCUUGGGCCCAUAGUGCGGGUACGUUCAAAUUGCUCUUUAUUUGGGGUGAUAAUUUAGGAGUUACCAUAGUUUUACUUCCUGAUACCUAGAAAAUGCUGGGUAAGUGUAAUAAAUGGAUCAGGACAUCAAAUAAGUAACUGAGCAUAUGUUGCCAUUUAAAGUUCCUGCCAAUGGAAACAAAGAAUAUAACUCAUUUCUUUCCACUUGGAUUGUGUCUCUAAAAAAAAAAGCUACAGAUUUUCUUUCAGUCACUUAUCCAGAGUUUACUUGGAAUCUGCUGUGUGCUGGGCCUUGUGUUAGUAACCUCACCUACAAAGAUGGGUAAGACAGAGUCCUUGGCUCAGAGGGUUCAAGGCCAAUAAGCACCCAGAACUACUGUACUAAGGGCCAGGUGAGAAGUUUGCAGAAGACGCACCAGAGACGUUAAGAAAAGUGAUACUAUAUAAUUACACACUCAGAACUGCUUAUCAUUCUCCUCUAUAUUAUACAUGUAAUCCAAAAGUGUUUAAAAGAAUAGAGAAAAUUUGUUUCCCCUUAAAUAAUCUCUUCCUCAUUCUCCAAGUCUUCUGAGAAUUAUCAAAUGAACACCUCCCAGAUGAGAGAAACGAGGUAGAGUUUUCUUUUUCUUUUUCUUUUCUUGUCUUUUUGUCUUUUUAGGGCUGUACCUGCGGCAUGUGGAGGUUCCCGGGCUAGGGGUUUAAUCGGACCUGUUGCCGCUGGCCUACGCCACAGCCACAGCAGUGCGGGAUCUGAGCUGCAUCUGCGACCUACACCACAGCUCAGUGCAACACUGUGGAUCCCUAACCCACUGAGUGAGGUCAGGGAUCAAACCUUCGCCACGACGGGAACUCCAGAAUUUUCUUUAGGAUGUGCCCGUACAUGACUCUGUUUUGGAUAAAGAUGACUAGCUGUCUGACCAGGGGAGAGGAAGGCAGGCAGGCAGUCUGUGGGGUUCCCAGAGGGACCUAGGUCUUUCUGAGCUCUCUCCCUUCGCUGCUUCCCUCCACUCCAUGUUCUCCUGUCCCCCCCAGGUCUACCUGCCCCUCCCAUCCCCUAGAUGUAUUGCAUCUUUUUCUGCUCCCCCUUCAUGCUGCCCUGUGGGUUGGUGCUCCGUUCUAUCCUGUGCUGCUCGAUGGGGACCUGCCCAGUUCGACAACUCAACCUGUGCUAAAUUCUGAAUGCUGAAUGAGGCUCAGAGUCUGUCUCAGCCUUCUUCACAAGAGAGCAGAUGCGGGAAAGGACAGCAUCUGUGCAGGCAUCUUGGGGUAAGUGCCUAAGGUGAUCACCUGGGCUCCUGCCAUGUGGCCCCACCGGCCACUGGGAGCCUGCUGGGAUGAUGAUCAGUUGUAUCAGUGACCAUUUGUACCAGGCCUGAAGCCCAGCAUACAGACUGGGACUUCUGGUUUUCAUCCCUCCCUGGAACAUUCUGGCAUUUUAUUAGGAAAUCUCCAAUGCCCAGAGAUACAAGGAGAGGUAUCCUGCUUGGUAGUUCAGAUCUCUACAUUUUGACCAGCUUGAGCUGAAAAAUCUGGCUCUGUUCUAUGAGUGGAGUGACUUUGGGCUGUGUGCUUAACGUUUUUGUCCCUCAGUGCCCUCCUCGGAGGGUUGUAAGUUGGAGUGGAGUCUUUGAGUGAAGGUACAUCAAACAGUCAGGGCAGGAUUUCCAGGCAGUGUGUGUCCCAUCAAGCCAUCUUGCUGUUGUUUGUGGAUAUUUUAGACAGCAGCAAGGCCGCUGGAUGAGAGACUAAAUAAGUGAGAAAAAUAUUUUACAUAAAUCUCUUAUCUCAAAGCAAAUAACUCAUGUGCUUCCUUGCAUCUAUGCAUAAAUGAAUAUAUAAAUAUGUGUAUAAAUAUAUAUAUAUUCACACACCUACACCCUUGUUCUUUGGUGUCCGUAGGGGGAUUGGUUCCAAGACCCCCCAAAUCCACAGGCGCUCAAGUCUCAUAUAAAAUGGUAUGGUAUUUUUCAUCCAACCUAGACACAUACUCCUGUAUAGUUUAAAUCAUCUCAGGAUUACUUAUAAUACCUGAUAUAAUGUAAAUGCUAUGUAAAUAGUUGUAAAUACAAUGUAAAUGCUAUGUAAAUAGUUGCCAGAGUGUGGCAAAUUGAAGUUUUGCUUUUUGGAAUUGCUUUUUGGGACUUUCUGGGAUUUUUUUUUCUCCCUGAAAAUUUAGUUCACAGUUAGUUGAAUUCCUGGAUGCAGAACCCUGGAUACCGAGGGCCAGCCGUGACUCAGUGGGUUAGGGAUUGGGAUGUCACUUCUGUUUUCUCACCUUUGUUCCCCAGUUCACCCUUCCUUGUGUUUUCAACUUGGCUGAGAUGUGAUGUCCUCUUGAGAUCCCUGCUUUUACUCCAUUUAUCUUCUCAGGGAGAGAGGCAGGCAGUAAACAGGUCAACAAAUAAAUGGGAUAAUUGAGAAUCAUGAUGGGAUGGCGAUGACAAAGCAUGCUGCAUGGAAUUCCUAGGAGGUAAUUUGCUGGCAGGGAACUGAAGGACGGGAGGUCUCUGCAGGGUCUUUCUGCUGAGGGAUCCUCAGAUGCAAAUCAGAGGAAGAACUCGGUUCUUCGUUUUUAGGGAUCAGAAAGGAGGCUAGUGAUACUGGAGCUGGGUGAGCACAGCCAAGGUGGUGGUAGAGGAGGUCAGAAACUCAGGCCAAUCCUUAUAAAAGAUUUCCUGGUCCUCCUUGCCCCUAGAUGCUGGAGACCAUGUACAUUGGAACCUGAUCACUAAAACCUUGCUGGUAGAAUCUCAGAAUCUCAUUUACCCAAAGUUAAAAGUACCCUAACUUCCCCACCCCAUCCUUCAGCCACAGCUUCUUGUCCACUGUGACUUGACAUCCUUCAUCACCUCAUGCAAUUCCUGGCACAAAGUAAGGGCUUGAUAGAUAUUACCAGGAUAUUCACAUGAAUGAGUUGAAUACUGGAUACCCUGGGGAAAACGAGCUGUUGUUUUAAGAAGACAUUGCAGGAGUUCUCUGGUGGCUCAGUGGGUUAAGGAUCGGGGAUAUCACUUCUGUGGCCCAGGUCACGGCUGUGGUGCGGGUUCCAUCCCUGGCUCGGAACUUCUGCAUGCCAGUGGGCACAGCCAAAAACAAAAAGCAAAAAAAAACACAGCACUUCUUUAUGCACAAAGGUUACCUUCCUUCUCUGAACAGAGCUCUGCUGUCUCCUUGGCCCCACCCACUUGUUCUGUGUUUCUUUGGAGAAUUUUUGAAUUCCAUUUAGCACUGAGUAAAAUGUCUCCUUCCCCCCGCCCCCGCUAAUUAUAAUCAUAGUAGCAGUGAACUAAACAGUUGGGGGUGAAAGAAAUUCUGAUGAUGUUAAAAAUGCAAAUAGUUUUCACACCAGAUUAAUUCAUUUAACUAAGAGUCCUGAUCUUUAAACAUUAAACGUUUGAGUGUGAAACGUUUUAUUCACAGGGGAGAAAGUCCACGGUGAAGCUGAUCUGAAGCUCAUUCCUCUAUCAGGAGUGAUGUGAAGAUAAACAGGAUGCAUAUUGUUGCCUAGCUAUGAACUAACAAGUUGUGAGUUCUUUACAACAUUUCAGGAUGUGAUUUACAUGAUUCAAGAUUAGCAGGUCUGGGGAACUCUGGGGCUGUUUGAGAUUAGAAGAAGCCAAGUCAUAUAAGGAUCUGAGCGGAUGUUUGUGUUAUCUGCAUGUUUGACUAAUAUUUGAAUUAAAUGUUUUAUAUUUAAUCAAAGCAAAAUUGAAAGUCAUUAUGACUGCUGAUACGCAAUACUAAUUACAGGAAAUAACCAGCCCUUCCAUGUUCAGUGCAAAAUGCUGAUGGUGGAGCAGUCUCUUCUCUGGAGGGGGAAAUCAUAGGUCUCAGAUCUGGAAGAGAAUUUAGUUCGCUGUGUUUCAGCUAUUUUAAACCCAGACUCUCUC
rnacentral:lncRNA from 1 species